AGCUGUCUUGAGCCCCAAGCCUCUUCCUCCCCUGCUGCCCCUCUGCAGCCAUUCGGGAUGGGACCCCCUCUGGGUGCUGUCUGGGGUGUCAGCACGAAAGGGCUAACGAGAGCCCCUUCCCUGGCCUCCGUCUGUAGGUUACAGAGCCAUCACGGUGCGGAAGCUCAUGCAGGGCAUGGGCCUUGGCCUCUCCAGUGUCUUUGCUCUGUGCCUGGGCCACACCUCCAGCUUCUGUGAGUCUGUGGUCUUUGCAUCAGCCUCCAUCGGCCUCCAGACCUUCAACCACAGUGGCAUUUCCGUUAACAUCCAGGACUUGGCCCCGUCCUGCGCCGGCUUUCUGUUUGGUGUGGCCAACACCGCCGGGGCCUUGGCAGGUGUCGUGGGUGUGUGUCUGGGCGGCUACUUGAUCGAGACCACGGGCUCCUGGACUUGCCUGUUCAACCUUGUGGCCAUCAUCAGCAACGUGGGGCUGUGCACCUUCCUGGUGUUUGGACAGGCCCAGAGGGUGGACCUGAGCUCCACCCACGAGGACCUCUAGCUCCCAACCCCACAGCCUCUCCAAGGACCCAGGCACCAGCAGCCCCGGGACAGAGGGGACUCAGUGUGUGGGACUUGGUCACUCCAUGUUAGACACACGAGCAGAGAGGAACGCAAACCACUGUGGAGCCUGAAGCUGCUGAAGGAGAGUCCACACCAGUUGGCGGGAGGGUGGGGUGGGCCUGGGUCCAGACCAGGCUCGCUGCUCUCUGGGCCUCAGUUUCCCCACCUGCCAGCGGGCUCGGCCCUGUCCUUACAGGCUGGUGUGGCCGUCAGGGUGAGUGGGGUUAUUGUUAGUAGGCGCAGCCUCAUUCCCACCACGAUCUGUUCCGCGUGGUUCCCGCCAAGCCUCCCGCGGUUGCCGUGCUCUCCGCAAGCCUCUUGCAGCGCCCGCCUGCUAAUGUGAGGCUGGCACCAGGCUGCAGCCUCCCCAAUCCCAGCCCAUUUUGCUGUGUCUCUGGCGGGCUGUCCUCCUUAGUGGGAGCUGUCCUGUGCACUGUAGGAUGCUUAAAGGUAUCCUUGGCCUCCACCCACCCCUUGCCAGCAGCACCUACUCUCCCUCCUCCCAGUCAGACAACAGCCAGAAAUGUCUCCAGACUCUGCCCAUCCUCCCCGGGUAGCCACCCUCGAGACAUGACCUCAGAGUCUCUGUGUCUCCCAGCAGCCUGACAGAGACCCCCAGGGCAGUGGGUGGGUGGCGGGCUAGAGACCCUUGCCCGUUUCUGGGACCCUGGUGCCGCUCUCCCCUCCUGUGGAUCCCUCCGCACUAACAGUGUUCUCAGUGGGCAGACGCCUGGGCACCCCUUGGGCCUGCCCAGCAUGGCCAUGGCGCAGGCUCUGGAACCCACACGGCUUUCCCAGACCUGGUGAUUCUGCUCUCCAGGGACGGUUGGCACCUUCCUCAGGGGCGGGCCCCACGCACCCCAGAACACACAGACCCACCUUUCUGGCGUUCUUUCUACCUCCCUUUUCAUUGCCUGAGGAGCUGGUGGUUUCAUGAGUUAAUGAUACAUCUUGCAAGGUGUACACAUAGAGAAAAAAACCUAAAAAUGUGGAAAAGCACGCCAAAGCCUUAUUUAAAUAAUAACUAUUAAACUAUUCAAAAAGAA
rnacentral:sRNA from 1 species